rnacentral:rRNA from 1 species
GGGUACGAUCAUACAAGCACUAAUGCACCGGAUCCUAUCAGAACUCCGCAGUUAAUCGUUCUUGGGUAAGAAUAGUUCUAAGAUGAGCUUGUCUUAUGACUU